CAAUUUCCAAAAUAUUCUGUCAUCUCUUCUAUUCCAAGUUAUACUCUAUGCUUCUCCUUAAUUUUGCCGUCAGCAGAAAGAACAAGAGGCAAGAGAGAACAAAAAAAACCACUCAAAAUUUAUCUAAGAAUGACCCUUACCUAAAAGUUGAUACGACUUUAAUACUGAUCACACAAAGUGGUGCUCUCUCAAAAGAAUCAGAUAUGUAAAGUAAAUCCAACUCUGAGUUCUUCUGAAGGUUGAUUUGGAGAUUCGGAUGGCUUUUUUUUUCUCCAGAAACUUGCUGCGUCAAAUUGAAGAUGAACGGCUAACUAGAUCUGAUUUGUCAGAUCAACAUGAAAGGCAUUUGCAGUGGCAGCAUCUGUUGUCUUUCGGGUUUGGUAAGGGGAGCAGUUCAUAGAGCUUAUAGAUGCUUAUUUGACUGUACUGAUACUGCAGACUGUUCCAUUGUUCUUUCUUGCUGCAAGCUUUGGCUAGAUAACAUCAUUGUGAUUCACGAUAUUCAGAACUUUAGUGUUAGUAAUGUUUUAUCUGGAUAUUCAGAUCUUUAGUUUUAGUAAUGUUUUAUCAGGAUAUUCAGAACUCUACUUAUUGUCAACAAUGUUAUCCAUUUUGUCACUUACUCAUUCAAAAGGAAAUAACUGUUGAGCGAUAACUCUUCAUAAAA